rnacentral:rRNA from 1 species
GAGUUUGAUCAUGGCUCAGGACGAACGCUGGCGGCGUGCCUAAUACAUGCAAGUAGAACGCUGAAGGAGGAGCUUGCUUCUCUGGAUGAGUUGCGAACGGGUGAGUAACGCGUAGGUAACCUGCCUGGUAGCGGGGGAUAACUAUUGGAAACGAUAGCUAAUACCGCAUAAUAUUGACUAUUGCAUGAUAGUCAAUUAAAAGGUGCAAUUGCAUCACUACCAGAUGGACCUGCGUUGUAUUAGCUAGUAGGUGAGGUAACGGCUCACCUAGGCGACGAUACAUAGCCGACCUGAGAGGGUGAUCGGCCACACUGGGACUGAGACACGGCCCAGACUCCUACGGGAGGCAGCAGUAGGGAAUCUUCGGCAAUGGACGAAAGUCUGACCGAGCAACGCCGCGUGAGUGAAGAAGGUUUUCGGAUCGUAAAGCUCUGUUGUAAGAGAAGAACGGGUGUGAGAGUGGAAAGUUCACACUGUGACGGUAUCUUACCAGAAAGGGACGGCUAACUACGUGCCAGCAGCCGCGGUAAUACGUAGGUCCCGAGCGUUGUCCGGAUUUAUUGGGCGUAAAGCGAGCGCAGGCGGUUAGAUAAGUCUGAAGUUAAAGGCUGUGGCUUAACCAUAGUACGCUUUGGAAACUGUUUAACUUGAGUGCAGAAGGGGAGAGUGGAAUUCCAUGUGUAGCGGUGAAAUGCGUAGAUAUAUGGAGGAACACCGGUGGCGAAAGCGGCUCUCUGGUCUGUAACUGACGCUGAGGCUCGAAAGCGUGGGGAGCGAACAGGAUUAGAUACCCUGGUAGUCCACGCCGUAAACGAUGAGUGCUAGGUGUUAGGCCCUUUCCGGGGCUUAGUGCCGCAGCUAACGCAUUAAGCACUCCGCCUGGGGAGUACGACCGCAAGGUUGAAACUCAAAGGAAUUGACGGGGGCCCGCACAAGCGGUGGAGCAUGUGGUUUAAUUCGAAGCAACGCGAAGAACCUUACCAGGUCUUGACAUCCCGAUGCCCGCUCUAGAGAUAGAGUUUUACUUCGGUACAUCGGUGACAGGUGGUGCAUGGUUGUCGUCAGCUCGUGUCGUGAGAUGUUGGGUUAAGUCCCGCAACGAGCGCAACCCUUAUUGUUAGUUGCCAUCAUUCAGUUGGGCACUCUAGCGAGACUGCCGGUAAUAAACCGGAGGAAGGUGGGGAUGACGUCAAAUCAUCAUGCCCCUUAUGACCUGGGCUACACACGUGCUACAAUGGCUGGUACAACGAGUCGCAAGUCGGUGACGGCAAGCUAAUCUCUUAAAGCCAGUCUCAGUUCGGAUUGUAGGCUGCAACUCGCCUACAUGAAGUCGGAAUCGCUAGUAAUCGCGGAUCAGCACGCCGCGGUGAAUACGUUCCCGGGCCUUGCACACACCGCCCGUC